GGAAAUGCUCGAAGCCCUCGAAGGAUUUGGGCGUUGGAAUACAUCGGCGACAGUUCGCAGAAUAUUUAAAGCCGCAAUAACUUGGGUCAGAAGGAGGUCUUGGUGUACCUAUAGCGUCUACGUGACUAAAAGUGAAACUGAAACUGCGCGGGAAGGAAACACAAGUGGCGAAGAAAGCUGAAAAGAAAUAAAUGAGGAAAGACACAAAGCAUCAAAGUUCUCCUUAAUAAGAAUACAAACUAUCUGGUUUUGCACGGGGAACAAACCGGAUAAAAAGGUAAACAUUGAAAGUGCUUUGAAGUAUGAGACCAAUUCGAGCAUGCUCGUAUGCGGACUGGAAUGAUAAACUGAUUUAAAAUAGGAGCUUAGUAGUCUCCCUCGCCAACCUUACUGGUGCUCAAGCGCCACCUAGCGUGACAAGCCAGAAGGGCUGCGAGGUAGACUAACGCUGGUAGAUGUCCCAGGGUCUUCGAACGUCUGAUAACCAGAAGACACUCGAAAUACUUGUCAUCUUAAAAACGAUAACUCCUUGCUUGUUUCCUUUCAAUGCGUAAAUCACAGAAUACGCACUCCUACUUCUACAAAUCCCUCUUUUACCAGCAGCUGCUGGUAGCUCGUUGAGAAAUACUCUUAUACAUACGAGCUCCGCACUUGAGUAGUAAAUCGAUUAGGCUAUCAUGAUUCAUGACACGAGUACUGAAUCCUACGCAAAGGUAAACUUUGGAACGUUCGUGCGCUACAUGUAUCAUUCUACUAGAUAUUUUCUAGGCACGUGUGCGACCAGUGUAGAAUUUAAGUCGCACAAUUUUGGUCGCCCUGAGACAAUGAAACUUUUGUCCAAAUCCCCUUAGUCCGAAUCUUACGCAUACAGCAUGACCUUAUACAUUGUAACAGCUAGUAU